ensembl:lncRNA
GUAAGGAUGAUAUCUUCUCUUGAGUGUGUAUGUACAUGUGUGACUGUGUCUGUAUGUAAUGGGUUUCUAUUGUCAAACAUCACUCUGGGGAAGAUCUGGAAUAUUUUAGCGUGAGGGAGUAAAUAACUUUCCUUGCUUUGAAGGCAAACGGGAGGGUAGGGUGAGGACUUUGGGGCUACAGUUACCUAUAAAUGGCUUUUGGUGGCCCUGUCCUGUGGAGAAUCCUGGAAAAGCUCAGUUGGUAGUUAGUAAAUCAUUAACCAUAGGUUUUUGCUAAAAUCCUGUGUAAUUUGUGGCCCAAUGUUAGCUGGAUUUCAGGGAUAAGGGCAGAGUGUACAUUCACUUUGGGUCAGAGGAUUAAAGGAGCUUGUCUUCUCUGCCCAGACUGGCCUCCUCCCCUCUGAACCUGGUUGGUGAUGGCUAUAUUUCUUCAAGGGGAAAGGGGUCUGGGUGUCUUGGGCUGAGGGCUCCUGACAGAACAGGGAGCAAUGGUUAGGUGCCAGCUAACAGUGCAGGCAUGCGCUAUGGAGACAAAUGUCACAAGGACAGUUUUUCAGAAGGGGUGGACAACCUUGUUUUGGGAACUCUCAGUAUCAGUGCUUAGGCCUGAGGCUUUUUCUCUUGAAUGAUCUACCAUGUUCCCAGGAGUUCCAGAGCCAUACAUCUGUGGAUGCUUGAAGAAAAGGAGAACCUAAGACCAAGUUCCAUGGGAAAGAGUAGGUUCUGAGGUUUGCAUUUGGUGAGAGUAUGUUGCCCUCCACAUGGCAAAGAUUCAGGAAUGAAUAAAGACAAGGAAAGGAAUGAGCAGAAAUGAAAAUCAUUAUUGAGAGAAACUUGGGCAUCUGCUGUCAGAAUGAAAAGAAAAAGCCUCCAUCAACACAUGAAAGGAAGUCCAGACUGAGGGAAGGAAGAGUCUGCAAUUACACAGUACCAGGGUCAAUAUUCAGAAGCCUUGGAGUCUUCCAGCAGUUAUGGCCAAGAGGAGGACUUGCACCAACUUAUCACAGCAAGUGAAGCUUUUCUUGCACUGUAUUUCUUAAGGAAAUUCUCACACUGGACAAUCAGUGAGGGAACUGGACAAUUUUGUCAUUCACAGCUUUAGAGAGAACACAGAUCUCUGAUCUUCAGUUGCUUCCAUCAGUUCUUCCCAUCCUCCUGAGGCUUCUUAAGAAGUCAAGGGAUGGGGCUCUGGAAAUGUGCUUGAAGCCAGGUGGAGUUACCUUGUCUCCAUGGCAAAGACAGGCAGGUGCUCAGGGCCUUUGGAGAAACAGGAGGAUGUUUUUUUGUGACCAUUCCUUAGCCUUCCAUUUACUCUUGGACCUCUGUCUGUGACUAUGAAUAGCUUGGCCAUGCAGCACAGUAAGACACAUAUUCUACCUAACCAUCCCAUGAGCACAUUCACACUUGCCACAUGUGUGCACUCAGAUCAUUUCAAACAAUAAUCCCCCAAAUUCCCUGAGCAAUAUUUUCUCAUGUCACAGUGAACUGCUCUGAUUCUUAAAAUGCUAUCAAUUCUAUUUUUAAAGUGUUGCUUGUCACCAACUGAAAAAUUAAUUUCAUGACUCACAAUGGGUCAUGACUUGUGAUUUGAAAAACAGUACUCUGAAUCCUUUGUUCUCAACCAAGACAGCUGUUCAAACUUUACUCAUUUGUGUCCCUGGAUGAUAUAAUACAUACCCACUAAUGUAUAUAUGUGGUAAAAUAUCCUUAGUGAUUCUAGUGUGCCCCUUACCAUCCCCUAGCCAAUCCAAAGUGACAAGAUGCUAGGAAAAAUAAACAAAAGGGAGAGAAGAGGAAGAAUUUUUCCUAAGAUUUAGAGCACAGCUUGUCUUUUCUGUCCCAGAGAGUACCAGCUCCUAAUAAAAAAGAAGUUCUAGAUUCCAACUAGGACACAAGAAAGCUGGAUGUGAUGGCACAUGCCCGUUAUGCCAGAACUCUAGUAGGGUGAGGCAGGAGGUUCAAAAGUUUGUGUCUAACCUGAGCCACUCAGUGAGACCCUGUGUUAAAAGCUAAUUAACUAAAUAUAUUGAUAGAUGAAUAAAAAAUUUAAAAAGGGGCUGGAGUGUAGCUCAGUGCAAAGACUGUGUUUCAAUCUCCAUUAACACACACACACACACACACACACACACACUCACACCACAAGAUAUGAGUGAUUGCACUACAGUUUCCAGGAGAUAAAUUGAAUAUAUUCAUGUUGUAUAAAUGACACUAAAUCUGAGGUGAGUCCACCCUUACUUAAAGCUUGCCCUUUUAUCCUUUAUGUGUUUGAGAAAAGUUUUCCUUCAAGGCCAGAGUUCUAAAUGCAAUAGCAUGCAUGUGUUCUUGAAGGCAGAUGAUGACAGGGACCAACUCAAGCUAUAUCUCUACCUCCAUCUUUAUUGGAUGUCCGGAGACCUGAUAGGGUUUGAGCUAAGUGUUCCUGGAUUUUAACUUCCCAGGAUCCAUUAUACUAGGGUGGCCAGGACUUUUGCAGACAGCAUCUACACAGUACAGAAAUACACUGAAUCCAACACCCACAGGGCAGUAAUCUCUCUGGGUGUGAGCUUUCAGUCCACAGUUAAGCAGAUGGGAAGUGUAGGACUUAUCAUAUUUGAUGACUAACAUAUUUGAUACCCAAAGGAAUCAGUCUUUAAUAACUUUCUUUUAUGCGACCAAAUGAUUUCCACUAAUAAUUCAGAAAUGAAAUAAAAAUAUGAAUUGAAAAGAAAUGUUGAUAUUUUAAAAUUGAUCUUGAUAGGGUUAAUCAUGCUAGUAAAAAUAAAAUUAAAAACAUAAAAUAAAAUAAAUACUAUAGUACCAAAAAAGAGAAUUGUAGAUUAAAACAUUUAAUUACAGGAACAUGUAUUUUAAAAGUCUUGUAUGUCACAGUAAUGAGUAAUAACACAAUAACUUUAAUUUGUUUUUAAGCUCUAACUUCUCCAGAUUUGUCAAGGACAUUGUUAAAAUUGCUCUGUGCCUUCAUGUUCAGAGUUACUAGCAGAUAUGUCCAUCUAUCUUUGCUCAUAGUUGACUGAAGGACAUUUUUUAUUAAAUUGCAAUUUACAACUUUUCUUUCCUAUGAAGAGGCAGAUAUCUAAAAGAGGAAAAGGCUUAAAUGUAACAAUAGAUUUAUCAGAAGUUCUUAAAUGAUCCCAUUUCACAAGAAAAAUUCCAGAGACUUCAAUACUAUCCAUUUUGUUUUUUCUUUACUUCAAUUUUGAAAGCUUUCAAAUGUCUCUGCAUCCAAAAUUUUCCACUAAAAAUCUUUAGAGAAGACUAUCUUAAAUUUCUAUCAUUCAGUGAAAUCUGAAGUGUUCCAUCUUUUGCAACAAUCAAAGAAUGGCUGAACAGUAGUGAACAUCAGCACUAUUUAAAGCACUGUUUUAUGCUGAGCUACAAAGCUGAACAGACUCAAGUUUCGUUUCUUCAUCCUUACAUCCACUGUGCUAUUACCAUUUAUUAAGAAAUUGUGUGUGUGAUACCACAGUGAUUGGAGGGUCCAGACCACGACCAAAGGAAGCUUGAGCUACUGUGUGAUUGAAAGUUCUCUGAAUUAGCUGCCAUGUAGAAUAUGAUGGUUAUCACAGCAUAAGCAAUGCAAAGGUAAUGCUUUGGAGCUUAUGCAGUGUAUUGUUAACAUUCAGUGCUACCUGACGUUUAGAAUUAACAGUGUACUGUGACAUUACAAAGCAGACCAGCUUGUAUCUGUUUUUUGGUAAUGCUGGGGGUGGAACCCAGGGUCUUGUGUGCUAGGCAGGUAUUCUACCACUGAGCUACAUCCCCAGUUUGCUUGGUUUCCUCAUUCUCUAUUAAGUUCUGCACAGACAACCCCCUCCCUCGCCACCCCCCCCCCCAUUGCCUGCACUGGGGGGCUCAUCAGGAGUCCCAUUUCUGGUACAUCCUUGGGAACAAGACCUGGUGAAGAUUGGAAGAUUUGGUGCCUGACCUGUGUCCCAGUGUGAUGCUUACUCACUUCUGCCCGCCCCCCAGAUUGGUUCAGUGGCUCAUCCCUCUCAAGCUUCUUCUCCUUCUGUACCUCAGUGGUGAGCUUCUAACCUGGGAUUCUACUAUUUCUCUGUGGGUAGAGAGAGGGAGGUAGACAGGGAGAGAGAAAGAAGAAAAACAAGUUUAAUCUCCUGCAAGGCAUUUGCUACAAGGGACAUGAAUCUUCACCUUGUAUCGCAUUCUGGGUCUCCAAGACCUGAGCCAGCAGCAAUUGUUCUCUGUGGGUGUCGAGGGAAACUUGCUCUGCUGGAGCCCAGCCUCAGAUAAGAGGCAGCACGUGCCAGGGGCCUGCAUCCCAGCACUAUAUCCCCAGAGAAGUCACUGGUUGCUUGUGCAACUUCAGGCCAGAUACCAAGUCCUCUGUGUGGAGCAACGUCCUCAUGCAAGUGGCAUCAUAACAGUGCCCUCCUCACAGAAUCUCUGUGGGGACUAAAGGAGACCAUGUGUGCAAGGUGCCUAAUCCAUACCUGUGAAUAAAAGAACAUGCCAUAAAAAUUAGUUAGGACUUUUACUCUUCUGUAUAAUGAUAAUUAAAGACAUGAGGGAAAUACACGAAUACAGACAAUUCUUUCAUAGGUUUAGUAAAUAUUACAAAAGUUGUUAUUUCUGAGACUGACUUGAUUCUAGUUUAAGUGAAAACUGGUUUGUCUCAUUAGCAGUAUUCUUUUAUUUAUUUAUUUUUAUUUAUAUAUUUAUUGGUACAUUUUAGGUAUACAAUACAUUUACAUUUAUCAUUGGGUGUUUGUACCUGAACAUGAUGUAUCUUAGUUCUUAUUUUUUCUUCCAUUACCUGUGUGCCCUUCACCCCCUCAGCAGUAUUCUUUUGAAAGGCUACAUCAUUAGACAUUCUGACUCCAUGUACAAGGUGGGACUAGACUGAAUCUGAGUACAAAUGACAAGAGGAUCUGGGACCUCAAGUUACCUUUAACUGUGCAGCAAAUCACAUUUCUAUGAAAAUCCAGGGGAACAACUCACUUAGAGGAGAUGCCACAAGUGUGUGAGUGUGAGGAGCCAAUCUUCACCAGUGGAUUAGUACUUGAUGAGUUCAUAGCUGACUUGUUGUUCGGAGGGGGAUCCAGUUAGUUGGAACAGGUAGGUCACUGGGGGCCUGGCCUGGAAGGGUUUAUCUCUUCCUGGCUUCUUACUUCAUUCUGUCUCUGCCCAUGGAUGCCAGGGCCUGAGCAGCUCACACCACCAGGCCUCUCUGCCACCCUGCCUUGGAGCCAGCAGGAUGUGGACUGGGACCUCUACAAACUGUGAGGCAAAAAAACCUUUCUUCCCUUAAGGUGUGGGAGUAAGGUAUUUUGUCCCAGGGACAAAGAAAGUGACUAAAAUGGAGCUGUAACAUUUCAGGAAGUGUCCUCUCCUGGCUGCUGACUUUAGUUCCACACACCAGGGUCCUUUUUAUCCCUUUUGCCAGUGGCCACACAGCUGGGAAUAUUGAUUGUGCUGCUCUAGCUGGCAUUUUUAAGGAUAAGGGUUUUGUCUUUUCCUUCACUUGUUUUGUUGAACAGAGGCAAGUGUUAGAAGCUAGUGUGGGCUCACUUUCAUUUUAAGUCCAAAAUAACGUUUGUCACAGGAACAGCAAUACAAAAUGCAAAUAGGAAUAUUUUGAUGGAAUUUUUAUAGGAGUUGUUUUUAGUGUUUGUAUAUGGGAUAAGGUCAUUUUAAAGUAACGUUUAUCACCAGACACAAAAGAGCCUGUACUAUUCUUUUAAUAUAAAAUACUUAUUUAUUUAAAUGUUUAAAUAUUAAGAACUGCCAUGGACUUCUUCUGACAAGUGUCUAUUCAUUGCAUUUGCCCAUUUUUGAUUGGGUCUUUUAUUGUGAAUGGUCUAAGGUUUUUUUAGAUCUUUGUACAUCCUACAUAUUACCAGUCCUCUGUCUGAGGAAUAGCUGACAAAAUUUUUUCGCAUUCUGUGGGUUUCCUUUUUCUCUGUUGAUUGUUUCCUUUGCUGUGUGGAAGCUUUUAAAUUUGAUAUGAUCCCAUUUGUUGAUUCUCAAUGCUAUUUCUUGUGCAAUUUGAGCUCUGUUCAGCAAGUCCUUGCCUGUGUCUGUGAAUUCAAGAGUUUUACCUGCAUUAUCUUCCAGCAGGCUAAGUGUUUCUGCUUCAAUAUUUAGGUCUUUGAAUCAACAUGUAGUAAUAAAAAAUUUUAAAAUAGUAAGAAUGAACACCAUGAUUUCUGACUAGCUAGCUAAAGAGAAUGCUUUAGGAGACAUGUCUGUAAAAAAAAGAUUCCUCAGGGAACCUUAAUAAAAUACAUUCUAUUUUUAUGUGGACUUCUAGGAAACUGGAAAAUUAAAACAUGCUUAAGAUGGUACAUCUGUGCUUAUAUGAUGCAUUGGAACAAAUGCAAUUGUAAUAAUAAAAGGGCAAUUCAGAGGUACAGCUGAGUUAUGCCACUGAUAGAAUUCUUAAAGAUAAAACUUUGGAUUCUGAUUUGGCUCAUCUCAGAUUUGUUUGAUGGAAAGUAGAAAAAUUGAGGGGAUGUAUUCUCUUUGUGUCACAUGUAUUUAUUUCCUCCUGCUAACAUAGUAAUUAUUUUUUCAGUGUAAUUCUGGAAGCAUUUAUUGAGUACCUACUAUGUACCAGAUAUUGUGUCAGGUGCUCUAGAUGACUCAAAAUUAAAUAAGAUGUACUUUACAUCAGUAAUCAAGACAUACAUUACUAACUGUGAUAUUUGUACGAAUGCUGUGAAUGCUGCAGGCAAGUCUAUCUUGAUAGAGAGGUUCACAGGGAGGCAGAUUCUGUUGGUGCUGAAGCAAAGGAAGAAGUUUGAGCCCAGGGAUGUCUUGGAGGGUUUAGAGUGAUGGAGGAUGGACAGCAAGGACUCUGCACAGCAGAGUGAAGGGCAGAAUAGGUUACUGCAGGCCUUACCUGCAUGUUGGAGGCAUUGCCUCCCUUCCAAAGCAAUGGAAGAGCACCAGUGUUUAUAGAAGAGCAUGACAGGCAAGUUACUGGUGUUGAUUCCUAAUGGCCCCAAGUCUUCUGCAGGAGUAAAUGGCAGGAUUUCUGCUGAGCCCAAGAAUUUAGCAUUGAGAUUGGGGAUACUGGGGCAGUGUAGUCAAGUGCUUAAUAGUUGCUAUUUGGAUUGGAAAGGAAGCCAAUCAGUAAUGAAUAAAAGGACUGGUGAACUGCAUAUAGCAAAAGAUGGAAAAACAUUACAAAUUUAUCAUGCAGCCAAUUAGCACCAUUGUACCAACUUUCUGUGGUGACAUUCAACAGUCAAGGUGAAGACAGUUGUGUUGAAUUAUUGAUAAUUGCUAAUUUCAUAGGUGUAUGUUUUUGUUAUCCCCCUUGUCCCUCAAAUGCUGCUAGUUAUGCAUCUUUCAUCAAGAUCUGUAAGGAAGGCUAAAAUGUGCUGGUGUGUCCUGAAGGGUAGGGGUGGAAAUAUUUUACCAAGAGUAGACAUGACGCCUUUUUGACAAGAGACAAAUGUUUCAUUCAAAUGCUGCAUUUCGCAUAUUGGAAACUGUAAUGAAUUUCCAUGCACCCCUCUACUUAGUUCAUAAUGUCAUGCCCAGGCGUGGCAACACCUCAGGCUUUCCUCACAAAAUUAAAUUUAAUGUUACACCCUCCAGUAGAAUGGUGCAUAAAUCAAGCCUUUGAUUUGCAUGGACUGUAGCAAGCAGCUCUGUUCUGGACAAAUAUAAACCCGACUCUGAAUAUUAUGUCAGGGAGAGGAACAAAGCAAUCUAGGACUUCCAAUAAAAGUCGGGUACCCAGUGUAAUUCAUGCUGGUAUUACACUGCUCUGUGUCAAGCUUAUUAUUAAAACUCUUGUUUUAGCUUCCUUUUUUCAUUUCAAAAGAAAAUGUUUUUCUUGACCUUCCUGUAUUCAGAAAACCAGCACAUAGUCCAACCAGUACUAUUUAUAAACUGGUGUCUACUAGAGACAACCAUGGGCAUAUUUAUUUUCUCUCCCAUCUAUCCUCACCCAGCAUAGAGUACGGGAAGGGGUACAUAUGAGUAAUCAAGUGGGAAGGAACAAAACAAAGGCCAUGGAAUAAAAUACCCCAAGGAGAUUGGAUAUUCACUAAUGUUCUACCUCCGGUCACAGCCCUGGGAGAAUGCUAGGAACUGAUUCAGAACAGACAAGCUUUGAAAAGGCCUUGAUUGCCAAAGUUAAUGCACAUUUGGAUUCAGUACAUGCAUCCAGUUCAGGAAAAGUGAGCCUAAAUAUGCAUCAUUUGGUCUUAUUUCUGGCCUACAGCACAUGCUGAGUUAUAGCUUUCUUCACUCAUAUUUUCUCCAUUGUAGAGGAUCUGAACUCAGUUUUUAAACCACAAAUAAAAUCACUGUGAUCCAAAACUGAGGGAGGCUUUGAGAUAAGGAACAUUUUUACAAAUACAAAAUGAACCUGCCCAACAUCCCCUAAGAACAGAAAUAGAUCAUGGUCCUGCACAUCUUCUACUCCACACCAAGAACCAUCAUAUUUACCCUGGAAGCAGGCAGGGUCUACAACAGAGCUCACUCCUGAACCCAAGUGCUUUCCCAGGAAGCCACAGCUGUCCAGAACACAUAACCAGGUAAGCACGUGACCCUGGGAGCUGGGCAGAUGUCUUGGUAUCUACAGUGUAAUUUCUCCCAGCUGUCCAUGAACAUCUGUGAGAAUUUGGAAUGCUUCAGGAUUGGAAUAGGUGAAAGGUGGUGUCUGAAAAAUAAAUUUAUGAUAUCUUAAAGGGAGUAAAUUAGGAUUCAUUUAUUCAUUUGUGAAUGGAAUAUAUGCAUGAAUAUUUAUUAAAUGGCUACAAUAUGUCAGUCUCUGUGCUAUGUGCAAUAUGGGGAAUAUAGAGUGAAUUUCAAGGAAUUUACUUUUAAAAUUAAGGUAUAUGAGAUCUGAAUAACUGUUGUACAAUAUGGAAGUUUCUGCUUUAGGAUACAAAAAUGUGGAAGAAGGAUACAUCAUUCUAAUUGAAGGAAACUAGAGGAGGCCAAGUGAACAGGGUUCAGCCAUGUGGAAUGGAGACAGGAAGGGGAACUCAGUGAGGGGGAGGGCUAUGGGAACUCCUGGGUCAGGGAACCCCAUGCAUGGAUCACAGGAAGGAAUAGCGACUAGGUCCAGCAUUGCACUAGUGAGUGAAUGAAUCAAAGUGGAGAGAAAUGAGACUGGAAAGAUGGAGGGGUGGGGGUGACCACUGAACACUGGACCAGGUAGUUUUGAGGGUGAAAAUUAAGCAAUAUGGAAUAUUAAAGAUCUGUCAUAGCAUAGAAGAUAGAUUGAAGAGCAGAGACUGGCAUGAAGGAGACUGAUGAGUUCUGGAGAGAAGGGACAAUAGCCUGGAAGACGAGGUGGCAGUGGGGACAGACAGGAAGGAAGAGGAUAUUACACAAAUGGAAUCCACAGACCAGACAACAGACUGGGGACAAGAGAAGGUCAAAUGCAAUGCUGGAGUUUUGGUUGGGUGUGCAGAAGAAACAUACAGUUAAUACAGUUAAUAGUAACAGCUCAAAGAACUUUCUUUUUUUUUAUUAAAAAAAGAUGCUAUUAUGAAGCAAUGUGAUGUAGAUGCUUAAUGUCUUUUACCUGAGGUCAAAAUCCAAUUUAAACACUGCAAGCUCCCUAUUCCCAUACACUGUAAUUUGGGUAAAGUUGAAUGACUUGACUUAGGCUUAUGAGAAAGAGGAGAAAUAAAAUAUUUCUAAAUGGUCACUGUGGGUAUAAAAUCAGCAUAAAGUUUCUUGGUAUUUAUCAUUCUGAUUAUCCCACUAAUGUUUUUGGAAAUCAUUACAAAGAGCCAGAGUUUCACAAGCCCUAAAUAGAGCAAAUGGCUAAUUUCAGGUACAUUGACUUUGUUGAUCAUGAUUUAAAGAUUCAUGUUGGAAUAGAAGAGCAUCUAGUCCAAUCCAAGUUUAUUUUGAAAGUACAGUCAGUCCACUUCAUGGAUAAGGUGUUUUCUAAUUGACUGAAACACCAGGCUGGCUGGUCUCUAAGCCAGCCUGUCAAUACCCAUACUGUACACAGAAAACCAGGGUAACCCCAGCACCAUCUCUUAGGCCAAGUGAUUAACUGCACAUCGGUCAUUUAGUGUAAUAAAUGUGAAGUCGGAGCAACUGAGUGUUGCCCCAGGCCUCCUGCUGUGAAAAUACAUGCCCUCCCACUUUGGCAAGCUUAGAGCAGACCCAAGGAAUUUGUCUGAAAUGUUACAGAACAAUGAGCACUCUUACAGUGCGAAAGAAAGCCUCCAUGUAGUUGAUCCUACCUGUCAGGCAGUGUGGACUGUGCUAUGAUCACUGCCCUCUCAGUUUGAAAGAAAUCUACUUUAAUGAGAAACAAAAACUGACCCUUUAGUGAUCAUUAAGAUCUCAUUUUUUUUAUAAAAACUUGAUGUGUAUCAGCUUUAAUGAUUGUUACAUCUAGUUUAGGAGAAACCAUGGAUACCAGCUUACAGAAGGAAUGAAGAUUCCAUUUUGAAAAAUCUCUUGCCUGUUUUUAGGAAUCAGAGAAAGACGAAAAGUAGAUGCUGUGACGAUGGAAUCUAUUUAUCUCUAAGGGGCUACACAAAAGGCAUUGCCUUUUGUUAUGAUUCCUCAACCAAUUAAGGAAAUGGGCUGCAUUUAAUAUGCCCAGUUUUGACUCUGUCAAUUUAUUAAGCCAACAAAAUAGUUAAUAUAAUCUGGUUAUUAAUUCUAGUUAAUGUCUCUUCCUAGAUUAUUUGAUCCAGGUUAUUGCUGCUGUAAAAAGGAUGUGGCAUCACAUAAAAUGCAGCAACUGUUUGAUCAAAUUAAGUGGUAUCACUUGGGGCAGGGCAUAUUGAAAUCAAUGUCCUCACGUGUCUGCUUGCCAUCCUCAGAAAUUUGCCUCUGACCUGCAAUAAAUAGUUGUGGUUCUUGAGCUAUUUAAGCCUGAUUAAGGUAUUUGUUAUGCAUUUGCUGGUACACUGGGUGCACAGUGUCAAUUCUCAGCUGUCAUUGUCAUGAUUAAAAAGGGUAGAAGGGAGUGACCCCUAUGUGGGACAAGUUGCAAUAAAUAAUAAGGAUGCCAUGAACCUCUAAACCAAUCACUGAGUUUAGCCAAAGUGAAUAAAAACCCUCGUAAGAUCUCUAACCAAAAAAGUUGCUAAGCAAAUAAUGCUGGAUUUUUUUUUUAUUAAUGAUUACUUUCCAUUGCCCAGCUAUUGUUAGGAGAUCUUGUUAUAUGAAUACAAAUGAUAAGGAUGUAACUGACUUCAGAGAAGCACUCCACCUAGGUGAGGGUUGGUUCUUGGGAAGUUUUUUUUAAAUUCGGAAAACUAUUUAUGUUAAGGAAGGCAAUGCAAUCAAAGCUCCAGCAAUGAGAUGGCAUCUACAGGAGGGGAAACCAGAUAUAUAACUGGAUUAAAAAUCUUAGAAGCACUUAAAAAAAAAAAGGACAUGUGUUCAUUGGCUCUUUGUUUACAAGUCCUAAGAAUGGGCCAAGACAGCAAUUAAUGCCAGUUUCUCAUCUCAAGAGCUGCAAAGACAAGCAGUGUAAUGUCAAACAACCAGUGUGCCUGACUUAUUCACCAAGCUGUCUGAGACACUCUUCCUCUGUUGAAGCCCACUUUUUAGCAAUGAUGAAUAACAACACUGGGUUAACAAUAGCAAUAAAAACGUUAAUCACAACUUCUACUAAAAAUCCACCACGACACAGGCACUGUGUUGAACACUUUGUAUGGAUUAAUUUUUUACUCCUAACACCAACAACCCAGGUUGAUAGCGUUAUUACCUCUGUUUUUCAAAAGAAGGAAAAGGUUAAGUAGCCUGCCUUGCAUAAUAUGUGAUGGAUUUUGGCUUCUACUUAGGCAGUCUGACUCUUGUUCCUGUUCUUCCCUCCAUUAUUCUAUAUAAUUCCUUCCUAAAUGCAAUUCAUGUGGACAGAUUUUUAAAAAUUGAAUGUUGUUUAAUUGCAUCAGGCUUCUUUUUUAUUUUAAAAGAUUCCUAAAGUCAUGACUUUUAUAAAAUGAUUAUCAUCCAUUCAUUUAAGAAAUGUUUAUUAAGUAUCUGCUACAUUCCUGGGACUGCUAAUGUUAAGGAAAUGAAAAAUAAGAUAGGGUCCCUGACUUUAGAAAAUCCUAUAUCAACUCAGUUAAUUUAAAUGAGGUACAACUAUAUUCAUAUGUAUGUGUUCAGGCCAUAACCAUGGUCUUCGUGCUUUUAAUAUGACAGUUAACCACUAAUGUAGAUUUUCAUGCCAUGAACUCUAGAGCCUACUUUAUUAUUUUUCCAAAGUGGAAGUAACUUCUAUUUUUUUGGUACCGGGGAUCGAACUCAGGUCCUUGAGCUUGCACAGGAGGCAGCGAAACCACUGAGCUAAAUCCCCGGCCCCUGUAACUUCUAUUUUUGUGGCCAAUUGUAAAACAAAUCAGACAGUGCAUAGUACCAUAAAAAAUGAAAUAUUCCGUAAUCCUUAU